UAAAGUUGUUGCAGUUAACAAGCUCGCAGUUGAAUUUCGGGAUUAACACGUCCGUCGUGCCACUGGUAUGAACUGGCGUCGUUGAUUUCUCCUCUCUGAGGAACCAUGAUGGCAUUAAUUUGAUGUCGUGGGAAAUCAGGACUGUUACUUUGAAAAAAUUAGAGUGUUUAAAGCAGGCUCGCGCUUGAAUACAUUAGCAUGGAAUAAUGAAAUAGGACGUUCGAACCUAUUUUGUUGGUUUCUAGGAUCAACGUAAUGAUUAAUAGGG
rnacentral:rRNA from 1 species